UUAGUUAGUUGUUGUUAGUUAGUGUGAGACAACGACGACCGAGGGGUUCAGUUGAGCGGAGAGGGAUUAUUGCUGCACACAUACACACGGAAGCAGUAGUCACCACGUUUCAUUUAAACGACGACGACCCACCUAUUGUACUACUGCAUAUUAUUUUUUUUAUUAUUAUCGGUAGUGGUAGAUACGGGUCGGAGAAAAGUGGGAGACUGUUCGGGCGCGACAUUUCCCUUAAUUCUGCUUCUUCUUCUUCCUCUCCUCUCCGUGGUCACGUUUGGGUUUAAAUUGAGAGACGGACCAACUUUUCAAUCACUCUUGGUUCAGGAGUACAAGUGUUACCACCACAGUUUCGUCCACCACUGCUGCGACUACCUUGUGCUGCACCACUUUUCUCAUCGAGAGAUCUGUCUCAGUCUGCUCGACCGACUCACUCAGUCUCCGCACUCGGCAAGAUCAGUCUCACUUUUCUGAAAUAUAUUUCUGAAAAUUUUUUUUUACCUACCAUGGCUAACGAUCCUAAGACCCUCGACCCCACCGGGUUGUACUGAGCGAUAGAUUUUUGUUUCUCGGUAAAUUUCCUGCCAACUUUCCACCCUUAACUUGAUAAGAAUCCAGAUCAAGAACUUCUCUGCAUAAUGGACCCUCCAAAGAAGUUAGACCCCACCGGUCUCUACUGACCUUUGACCUCAUCUCGACCCAACCCCACCACCCAAGUCUUGUCAGGGAAGAAGAGGACAAAGUUUUAGCAAAUUUGAGACUCAUCCCAAACCACUAAUCAUCAUGGACUUUCUCCACGAGCCUCCACAUCUCGAAAUCAUGUGCCAUCGUCAUCAUCAUUAUCGGAUGAAUUACAAGACCCGAUCAUUAAAACCGAACCUGGUCCAGCAUCACGCCUCCCACUUCUUGGCCCACCACACGGCGGACCAUAUCAAACCAGCUCUACCUCCUCCUCCGCGUCGCCACGUAUAGAACGUAAGGAAUUAAUCUGGUCACUGUCGGCGGCGUCGGCUCGUCAGGUCAUUCCAAUAAAUGAGUCACCACCACCACCAUCACCGAUGACCUGGAUUCGCCACCACCAAGACGACGACGGCGACGACGACCACCAAAACAAGCCCAUUAUUCCUAUUACAAUUUAGGUUAAAAUCAGGACUCUCAGUCAUGCCAAUAAGUAUCCCGAUGUGACAACAUACUAUACACAGACAUUACGGCACGUCGUAUUUUAUCGUGUUGUUUGUUUGUGCUAAUAAUUUUUUUUAUUAUUAUUCUCUGUAUUUACCACAUGAAAUCUUAUACUCAACAAAUUAUUCUACUUCUUUAUCGAGGUCAUUCGAUGCGUGUGUCAAAUUUCUCUCUCUGAAAAAAAAACUUUAAUCCGGCCUUUCUUUUCUCAUGUCGCAGUUUUUUUAGCAGAGUUUCUGGUGAUAAGAAGGAACAUUUUUUUAAAGUAAAUAAUCGUCGUUUCGUAAAGCCGUGAUGAUUUACAAGACUGAUCAAAUGAUAGAAAACGCAAUAAGUUACAUAUUAUAAUAACGCCGAGAAAAAUAUUAUUAUUGUUUUUUUAACCUGCCAACAAAUUAUCUAAUCGAAUCGCAAAAUUUAUAGAAUCAAAUUUACAGUACACACACUUUUUGCAUGCCCAAUUAUAUUUAAAUUUCUGCACCUGCCAUCCGUAUUUUUUAGCUUAUCAGUAUUUCCUCUACUCCACUUUAUACACAUUUAUUCUAAAUAAUUUAAUGCUAUUUUCACACUUUUAACAGAAAGUUCUGUUACAGAAUUUUACUAUUCAAUGUUAACAAAGAAUUUUAUCCAUCUACACAAACACACACUACAUCCGGCCAAAUAGUUAAUUACAAUUAGUUUUAAUAAUACAUAACUAACUAAGCCGACACAACGUAACAAUUUUGUGAGUGAGAAUAUCUACUUAAACUUUUAUAGGAUAAUUAGUUAAUUAUCCACCCACACACACACACACACACCCACCAAUUAAUUUAUUACCAAGAACAACAACAUCGCCAAAUUGACGAUUUUUAUUAUUAUUUAUUUUAACCGUAAUGCUAUAUAAAUAUUUUAGUGGAAAAAUGCUAUAAAGUGGAGAAACAAAAAUGAUUUUAUUUUUUACAAAUAUUUACACAUUUAAUUAUUCAAGCAAUGGUUAGUGAAUGCGAUUCAGCUGAAAUAAAAGUGAUGAUGAGAAAACAAAUGUGAAAAAUAAAAUAAAAAUAAUAAAAGCAUUUCAUUAAUUUAAAACGAGA